AGAGGGCGAGGUUCUCCGGACAGUGGGCGGGACUAGAGAGGCCACCUGCAGACACACCCUGGCUUCUCCUGGUCCCUCUUCCCUCCCUUCCCCCUCGGGGCACAGAGACGAUCCACACGUGGGGUCUCCGAGCUCUAGGGUCCUUUUACGUAGCAUAGUCAGGCCUGGGAUCAGAACGUCAUGUUCUUGCUAAAAGUCUCGGUGUGUCCUAGUUGUUUUAGAGACUUGGAGAGGAAUGGGGGUAAAAAAAAACCCCAAAACCCGAGAACUAUCGCGCCAAGAGAAGUCAGGAUUCUAGGAAGCCUAGGACGCCAAACAAAUGGAGACCAAAAAACAAGACGGGAGGACUGGAGACGAAGCAGGCAAAAAGUCAUCAGCCACGGCUGUUGUACGGUGUGUUUCACCUCUCCUACCAAGCCUUCAUCCCUGUCUAUGAGGACGAAGAAGUUACCGGGGAAAUUGGUGAUGGGCCUGGCUGUCCUGGAGAAUGCUCUUGAUUAAGUUGGUGAUAGAAAACGGGAGAACUGAAGACAAGCACUUUAUAAACUCCCUUGUCUGCUUGAAUUUGUAGUGCUGAAAUUCAUGGGUUAAGGCUAUGCUCCUGCAUCAACUACAGAUGGAUCUGGACCCUGGUGUAUUCUCCCUGUGGACCAACAGCUGUCAGAAGACAUUGACACAGGAAGUCAAGGGGCAGGAUCUCCAUCCUCCCAGUUUCUUUGGUUUUACAUAGAACUAAGUGAUCCCGGAGAUCGCUCUCAAGACCAGGAAUCCAUCAGCUUCAGGGGCAAGCAGGGAGGCAGAAAGCUGCUGGGUGCAGAUGGGGAGCAAUGCAGGAUUUGAGCAUGGACUGCACAGAGUUCCUCCCAAGAGAAGAGGAAUGAGGCAGGUUCUGAAGAGAAAGCACUACAGUCAGAGUCUCUGUUGGGACCUAAGAAGUCCAGGAAGCGCAAAUAGGCAACCAGAGCUGAUCUUCUGCCUGUAAUCUUCUACCAUCACUAAGAAUCAUGGGGAGGCAGGUCAGUGGUGUUGUCAGUUUUGAAACCGUAACCUCAUGAUGGCAGUAGAGCUCCACACAAGCGCUUGUGAGUGAUUGUCUCCCGCCCUUCCUGUCUAAAAAAACCACCAAGGGUGGCUGUCCUGACUUCUUCAGCUCAACUUUGAGUAAUUUCACCAGUAUUUUAUUUUAUUUUUUGCCUUUUCCUUUUGUUACCUAAGAUAUCUCCUUUUCUUUCUGUAUGACAGCUCGUUUUUUAUCCAUUUCCAAUACUUAAUGGUCUUCUUAAAAUUUUACAAUGAUUGAUUUUUUCAUGGGUUUUACACCAUAGUUAUUGUGGAGAUUUAGAAGCAAAGGACUAAAGCUCUGGUUGUAGUGAACUGACUAUAUGGACCAGGCUCCUGUGAUAAUAUAAUCUAGUAUGAAGACAGUAACAGGCAUAUAUAGUUAUGUCAUGGGAAACAGUAAUAGGCCUCCAAUGUCGGAAGACUCUUGUGCCCUUGCUCCAGUGUGAACUAAAUCAUCCCCUAGAGAGAAUCAGUGACAGAUCCAUUUGGAAACCACUCUGAUUUCAACGCACAUGUUUCUCCAAGUGGGGUUGUGUAAAGCAUUCAGUGUUGACAGGUAUCUGGAUCCUCUAUCCAGGGCCAUUAGAGUCAGCCUGGCACAGGACACACAAGGCCUUUUGUCUAGAGCCCUUGUCUGGAUCACACACAGCGUGGUAUCCAGGGAAGUCUGUGUGAAGUAGGUAAGAACUAGGUCUCCUGAUGGUUUGCUUUUGUUCAGCCCUGAGGUUGCCACAUGUCCUUUUUUCCCUAGAAGUGAUCCCUGAGAUCUCUCUCAAGACCAGGAAUCCAUCAGACUCCAGGGGCAAGCAGGGAGGCAGAAUGCUGCUGGGUGCAGAUGGGGAGCAAUGCAGGAUUUGAGGGUGGACUGCACAGAGUUCCUCCCAAGAGAAGAGGAAUGAGGCAGGCAAGACCUUUCAGAAUAUGCAGACACUUUUGACUGAGGGACUUGGACCAGGUACAGAGCUGAGCGGAGGCCAGCUAGGCCUCUCACUGUCCAGGUGCUGAUGAGAAAGCAGUACUGAAACUACAGAGUCUCUGUUGAGGCCUCAGGAGAAGUCCAGGAAGCCCAAAUCGGCACCCAGAGCUGAUCUUGUCAUCAGAAAAGCUUCCGCCAUCGCUGAGGAUCAUGGGAAGUAAGGUCAGUGGUGUUGUCAGUUUUGAAACCGCAUCCUCAUGAUGGCAGUAGAGCUCCUCAUAAGCUCUUGUGAGUGAUUGUCUCCCGCCCUUCCUGUCUGAAAAAAACGCCAAAGAUGGCUGUACUGAGUUCUUCAGCUCAUCUUUGAGUAAUUUCACCAGUUUUUUUUUUUUUUUCUUGUUUUAUGGGAUUCUUUUCCUUGUGUGAUCUGGAAUAUUUCUUUUUCUUUCUUUAUGAUGGCUCAUUUUUACCCAUUCCAGAUACUUAUUGGUCUUCGUAAAAUUUUGGAAUGAUUAAUUUUUCAUAGGUUUCACAUGAUAGAGGUAUUGUUUAAAAGCAAAGAACAAUGCUAAGCCCUAGUUGUUGUGAGCUAACUACAUGGACCAGGCUGCCCUGGGUCUUUCCAUGAGACUUCUGUCUUUGCCCCUGGGAAUUUCAGAAUUUCUAGGUUCAUGCUACCAUGACCAGAUGGCAGGAGUAGGUUUCACCUUGUCUUAAAUAACAUCACCGAACAAACCCUCGGCAGUUACUAAUUUUAUCCUAAAGACAACGUCCAGGCUUCAAGGUUUUUCCUUUCUCUUUCUUCAUCCACCAAUUUACCCACCUUUGAAACACAAGUAAAUCCAAGGGGAGUUUAACAGGUCUGAACGGAGAAGGUUCAGUGGAGAGUUACUUCUGUGAAACAGUAAGAAAAUACGAGACAUCCAUGCUUUUGUCUGUCUGUUUUGGUUAUUGUAUUUUUUUUUUAGGCUUGAGCAUGGGGGAGGAGUAGUCAAGGAUGGCCUUUGUGAGCCUCUGCUGUGCCCUACUGCUAUCCUGUAGGCAGAGCUACAGUGCAGGGCCAUUACAGCUUCAUUCCCAUGAGUCCUGGCAAUGGGGAAUCAAUGUCAGGUAGGAUUCCUUUGGCUUCCAAGUGGACCCCAGUGCUUUUCCUCUCCAGCAGGAGAGAUUUGAACACCAGCACUACCUUGGAGCUAAAAAUGAAGAGUACAGGACCAAGAGAAGACCAGUAGACAAGCUGACAUAGGAAGUUGUGGGGCGGGGUUUUGGUCUUUUUAUCUGGGACCUGACAAGAAGAAACCACAGGAAAAGAAGUGCAGGCUCUUGAAGGGGAUGUCUGUCUCCUGCUCCUUGUGCCAUGUGUGGGCCGGAUUUUAAGUUUGCCUUCUUGCUGAGACACAUCCACUCCCCGUUUAGCCCAAGCUGCCCUGGCACACACUGUGUAGUCCCAGCUCCUCUCAGAGGUCCAUGUCUUGGUUGCCAAGGGCAAGUAUAAGACUGAAUGUAUAAUCUAGAGUGAAGACAGUAACAGGCAUAUAUAGUUAUGUCAUGGGAAACAGUAAUAGGCCUCCAAUGUCGGAAGACUCUUGUGCCCUUGCUGCAGUGUGAACUAAAGCAUCCCCUAGAGAGAAUCAGUGACAGAUCCAUUUGGAAACCACUCUGAUUUCAGCGCACAUGUUUCUCCAAGUGGGGUUGUGCAUAGCAUUCAGUGUUGACAGGUAUCUGGAUCCUCUAUCCAGGGCCACUAGAGUCAGCCUGGCACAGGACACACAAGGCCUUUUGUCUAGAGCCCUUGUCUGGAUCACACACAGCGUGGUAUCCAGUCUGUGUGAAGUAGGUAAGAACUAGUGAAAGACCUCCGGAGAGGACCUCUCCCUCAGGAGGAGACCCCAAGCGCCCAAUGACCGAACCGAGGCCACUCCGAUGCAAUCAGCAAGAGGGUUUAUUGGAAAACACAGGUACCUGCGGGCACACAGUCUCUUCAGAGGACUUGCGCGCCCAGCAGCUCCAGCAUGGGGCUUUUAUAGGGUUUGGGGAAGCAGAAGCGGGCGUACAGAAGCAGAUGCAUAGUUACGGGGAUUGGUGGAUUUAAACGAGGCAUAUAGACAUGUUCACAUAUGAUUGGUUAUUUCACAUGAUGAGGUAAUAAGGUAUAGCUACACACAUUGGCAGGUUUGCAUCAUAUUCAACUGAGGUUGUAACAUGGUAAAAGAGUACAUGCGGGCUGGGACGUCCUGAAUGUCGGGGGCUAGGGGCUUAUCCCUUCCUGCCAGAUCUGGUACUCCUAGUCUGUUCUGUAUUCCUUUCCUUUUAUGGUCUGUUAGUUUUAACGGUGACUCGGCCCUAGGUAUCUGGGUGUGCCUGGGCUCCUUCAAGCCUGUUGCAGCUCUGAGUUAAGACUCAUGGGGUGGGUCUUUCACUAGGUCCACUGAUGGUUUGCUUUUGUGCAGCCCUGAGGUUGCCACUUGUCCUUUUUCUCCCUAGAAGUGAUCCCUGAGAUCACUCUCAAGACCAGGAAUCCAUCAGACUUCAGGGCCAAGCAGGGAGGCAGAAUGCUGCUGGGUGCAGAUGGGGAGCAAGGCAGGAUUUCAGCAUGGACUGCACAGAAUUCCUCCCAAGAGAAGAGGAAUGAGGCAGGCAGGACCUCUGAGAAUAUGCAGACUGUUUUGACUGAGGGACUUGGACCAGGUACAGAGCUGACCUGAGGUACUAGAAGAGGAAGCAGAGGGGCAGGUUUAACUAGCGUUCACUUGGCAAUGUUAACCUACUAGUUGGUGGCCUAGGCCAGCUAGGCCUCUCACUGUCCAGGUUCUGAUGAGAAAGCAGUACUGAAACUACAGAGUCUCUGUUGAGGCCUCAGGAGAAGUCCAGGGAGCCCAAAUCGGCACCCAGAGCUGAUCUUGCCACCAGAAAAGCUUCCGCCAUCGCUGAGGAUCAUGGGAAGUAAGGUCAGUGGUGUUGUCAGUUUUGAAACCGCAUCCUCAUGAUGGCAGUAGAGCUCCACACAAGCUCUUGUGAGUGAUUGUCCCCCGCCCUUCCUGUCUGAAAAAACGCCAAAGAUGGCUGUACUGAGUUCUUCAGCUCAUCUUUGAGUAAUUUCACCAGUAUUUUUUUUUUCUUGUUUUAUGGGAUUCUUUUCCUCGUGUGCUCUGGAAUAUUUCUUUUUCUUUCUUUAUGAUGGCUCAUUUUUACCCAUUCCAGAUACUUAAUGGUCUUCGUAAAAUUUUGGAAUGAUUAAUUUUUCAUAGGUUUCACAUGAUAGAGGUAUUGUUUAAAAGCAAAGAACAAUGCUAAGCCCUAGUUGUUGUGAGCUAACUACAUGGACCAGGCUGGCCUGGGUCUUUCCUUGAGACUUCUGUCUUUGCCCCUGAGAAUUUCAGAAUUUCUAGGUUCAUGCUACCAUGACCAGAUGGCAGGAGUAGGUUUCACCUUGUCUUAAAUAACAUCACCGAACAAACCCUCGGCAGUUACUAAUUUUAUCCUAAAGACAACGUCCAGGCUUCAAGGUUUUUCCUUUCUCUUUCUUCAUCCACCAAGCUACCCACCUUUGAAACACAAGUAGAUCCAAGGGGUGUUUAACAGGUCUGAACGAAGAAGGUUCAGUGGAGAGUUACUUCUGUGAAACAGUAAGAAAAUACGAGACAUCCACGCUUUUGUCUCUCUGUUUUGGUUAUUGUAUUUUUUUUUAGGCUUGAGCAUGGGGGAGGAGUAGUCAAGGAUGGCCUUUGUGAGCCUCUGCUGUGCCCUACUGCUAUCCUGUAGGCAGAGCUACAGUGCAGGGCCAUUACAGCUUCAUUCCCAUGAGUCCUGGCAAUGGGGAAUCAAUGCCAGGUAGGAUUCCUUUGGCUUCCACAGUGGACCCCAGUGCUUUUCCUCUCCAGCAGGAGAGAUUUGAACACCACUACUACCUAGGAGCUAAAAAUGAAGAGUACAGGACCAAGAGAAGACCAGUAGGGACUGAGACAGGCUGACACAGGAUGUUGUGGGGUGGGGCUUUGGCCUUUUUAUCUGGGACACCUGCUCCUUGUGCCAUGUGUGGGUAGGAUUUUCUUGCUGAGACACAGCUACUCCCCGUUUAGCCCAAGCCGCCCUGGCACUCAUUAUGUAGUCCCAGCUCCUCUCCGAGGUCUAUGCCUUGGUUGCCAAGGGCAAGUGUAAGACUGAAUGUAUAAUCUAGAGUGAAGACAGUAACAGGCAUAUAUAGUUAUGUCAUGGGAAACAGUAAGAGACCUCCAAUGUCGGAAGACUCUUGUGCCCUUGCUCCAGUGUGAACUAAAUCAUCCCCUAGAGAGAAUCAGUGACAGAUCCAUUUGGAAACCACUCUGAUUUCAGCGCACAUGUUUCUCCAAGUGGGGUUGUGUAAAGCAUUCAGUGUUGACAGGUAUCUGGAUCCUCUAUCCAGGGCCACUAGAGUCAGCCUGGCACAGGACACACAAGGCCUUUUGUCUAGAGCCCUUGUCUGGAUCACACACAGCAUGCUAUCCAGGGAAGUCUAUGUGAAGUAGGUAAGAACUAGGUCCCCUGAUGGUUUGCUUUAGUGCAGCCCUGAGGUUGCCACAUGUCCUUUUUCUCCCUAGAAGUGAUCCCAGAGAUCGCUCUCAAGACCAGGAAUCCAUCAGACUCCAGGGGCAAGCAUGGAGGCUGAAUGCUGCUGGGUGCAGAUGGGGAGCAAUGCAGGAUUUGAGCGUGGACUGCACAGAGUUCCUCCCAAGAGAAGAGGAAUGAGGCAGGCAGGACCUCUGAGAAUAUGCAGACUGUUUUGACUGAGGGACUUGGACCAGGCCAGCUAGGCCUCUCACUGUCCAGGUGCUGAUGAGAAAGCAGUACUGAAACUACAGAGUCUCUGUUGAGGCCUCAGGAGAAGUCCAGGAAGCCCAAAUCGGCACCCAGAGCUGAUCUUGUCAUCAGAAAAGCUUCCGCCAUCGCUGAGGAUCAUGGGAAGUAAGGUCAGUGGUGUUGUCAGUUUUGAAACCGCAUCCUCAUGAUGGCAGUAGAGCUCCUCAUAAGCUCUUGUGAGUGAUUGUCUCCCGCCCUUCCUGUCUGAAAAAAACGCCAAAGAUGGCUGUACUGAGUUCUUCAGCUCAUCUUUGAGUAAUUUCACCAGUUUUUUUUUUUUUUUUCUUGUUUUAUGGGAUUCUUUUCCUUGUGUGAUCUGGAAUAUUUCUUUUUCUUUCUUUAUGAUGGCUCAUUUUUACCCAUUCCAGAUACUUAUUGGUCUUCGUAAAAUUUUGGAAUGAUUAAUUUUUCAUAGGUUUCACAUGAUAGAGGUAUUGUUUAAAAGCAAAGAACAAUGCUAAGCCCUAGUUGUUGUGAGCUAACUACAUGGACCAGGCUGGCCUGGGUCUUUCCUUGAGACUUCUGUCUUUGCCCCUGGGAAUUUCAGAAUUUCUAGGUUCAUGCUACCAUGACCAGAUGGCAGGAGUAGGUUUCACCUUGUCUUAAAUAACAUCACCGAACAAACCCUCGGCAGUUACUAAUUUUAUCCUAAAGACAACGUCCAGGCUUCAAGGUUUUUCCUUUCUCUUUCUUCAUCCACCAAUUUACCCACCUUUGAAACACAAGUAAAUCCAAGGGGAGUUUAACAGGUCUGAACGGAGAAGGUUCAGUGGAGAGUUACUUCUGUGAAACAGUAAGAAAAUAGGAGACAUCCAUGCUUUUGUCUGUCUGUUUUGGUUAUUGUAUUUUUUUUUUAGGCUUGAGCAUGGGGGAGGAGUAGUCAAGGAUGGCCUUUGUGAGCCUCUGCUGUGCCCUACUGCUAUCCUGUAGGCAGAGCUACAGUGCAGGGCCAUUACAGCUUCAUUCCCAUGAGUCCUGGCAAUGGGGAAUCAAUGUCAGGUAGGAUUCCUUUGGCUUCCAAGUGGACCCCAGUGCUUUUCCUCUCCAGCAGGAGAGAUUUGAACACCAGCACUACCUUGGAGCUAAAAAUGAAGAGUACAGGACCAAGAGAAGACCAGUAGACAAGCUGACAUAGGAAGUUGUGGGGCGGGGUUUUGGUCUUUUUAUCUGGGACCUGACAAGAAGAAACCACAGGAAAAGAAGUGCAGGCUCUUGAAGGGGAUGUCUGUCUCCUGCUCCUUGUGCCAUGUGUGGGCCGGAUUUUAAGUUUGCCUUCUUGCUGAGACACAUCCACUCCCCGUUUAGCCCAAGCUGCCCUGGCACACACUGUGUAGUCCCAGCUCCUCUCAGAGGUCCAUGUCUUGGUUGCCAAGGGCAAGUAUAAGACUGAAUGUAUAAUCUAGAGUGAAGACAGUAACAGGCAUAUAUAGUUAUGUCAUGGGAAACAGUAAUAGGCCUCCAAUGUCGGAAGACUCUUGUGCCCUUGCUGCAGUGUGAACUAAAGCAUCCCCUAGAGAGAAUCAGUGACAGAUCCAUUUGGAAACCACUCUGAUUUCAGCGCACAUGUUUCUCCAAGUGGGGUUGUGCAUAGCAUUCAGUGUUGACAGGUAUCUGGAUCCUCUAUCCAGGGCCACUAGAGUCAGCCUGGCACAGGACACACAAGGCCUUUUGUCUAGAGCCCUUGUCUGGAUCACACACAGCGUGGUAUCCAGUCUGUGUGAAGUAGGUAAGAACUAGUGAAAGACCUCCGGAGAGGACCUCUCCCUCAGGAGGAGACCCCAAGCGCCCAAUGACCGAACCGAGGCCACUCCGAUGCAAUCAGCAAGAGGGUUUAUUGGAAAACACAGGUACCUGCGGGCACACAGUCUCUUCAGAGGACUUGCGCGCCCAGCAGCUCCAGCAUGGGGCUUUUAUAGGGUUUGGGGAAGCAGAAGCGGGCGUACAGAAGCAGAUGCAUAGUUACGGGGAUUGGUGGAUUUAAACGAGGCAUAUAGACAUGUUCACAUAUGAUUGGUUAUUUCACAUGAUGAGGUAAUAAGGUAUAGCUACACACAUUGGCAGGUUUGCAUCAUAUUCAACUGAGGUUGUAACAUGGUAAAAGAGUACAUGCGGGCUGGGACGUCCUGAAUGUCGGGGGCUAGGGGCUUAUCCCUUCCUGCCAGAUCUGGUACUCCUAGUCUGUUCUGUAUUCCUUUCCUUUUAUGGUCUGUUAGUUUUAACGGUGACUCGGCCCUAGGUAUCUGGGUGUGCCUGGGCUCCUUCAAGCCUGUUGCAGCUCUGAGUUAAGACUCAUGGGGUGGGUCUUUCACUAGGUCCACUGAUGGUUUGCUUUUGUGCAGCCCUGAGGUUGCCACUUGUCCUUUUUCUCCCUAGAAGUGAUCCCUGAGAUCACUCUCAAGACCAGGAAUCCAUCAGACUUCAGGGCCAAGCAGGGAGGCAGAAUGCUGCUGGGUGCAGAUGGGGAGCAAGGCAGGAUUUCAGCAUGGACUGCACAGAAUUCCUCCCAAGAGAAGAGGAAUGAGGCAGGCAGGACCUCUGAGAAUAUGCAGACUGUUUUGACUGAGGGACUUGGACCAGGUACAGAGCUGACCUGAGGUACUAGAAGAGGAAGCAGAGGGGCAGGUUUAACUAGCGUUCACUUGGCAAUGUUAACCUACUAGUUGGUGGCCUAGGCCAGCUAGGCCUCUCACUGUCCAGGUUCUGAUGAGAAAGCAGUACUGAAACUACAGAGUCUCUGUUGAGGCCUCAGGAGAAGUCCAGGGAGCCCAAAUCGGCACCCAGAGCUGAUCUUGCCACCAGAAAAGCUUCCGCCAUCGCUGAGGAUCAUGGGAAGUAAGGUCAGUGGUGUUGUCAGUUUUGAAACCGCAUCCUCAUGAUGGCAGUAGAGCUCCACACAAGCUCUUGUGAGUGAUUGUCCCCCGCCCUUCCUGUCUGAAAAAACGCCAAAGAUGGCUGUACUGAGUUCUUCAGCUCAUCUUUGAGUAAUUUCACCAGUAUUUUUUUUUUCUUGUUUUAUGGGAUUCUUUUCCUCGUGUGCUCUGGAAUAUUUCUUUUUCUUUCUUUAUGAUGGCUCAUUUUUACCCAUUCCAGAUACUUAUUGGUCUUCGUAAAAUUUUGGAAUGAUUAAUUUUUCAUAGGUUUCACAUGAUAGAGGUAUUGUUUAAAAGCAAAGAACAAUGCUAAGCCCUAGUUGUUGUGAGCUAACUACAUGGACCAGGCUGGCCUGGGUCUUUCCUUGAGACUUCUGUCUUUGCCCCUGAGAAUUUCAGAAUUUCUAGGUUCAUGCUACCAUGACCAGAUGGCAGGAGUAGGUUUCACCUUGUCUUAAAUAACAUCACCGAACAAACCCUCGGCAGUUACUAAUUUUAUCCUAAAGACAACGUCCAGGCUUCAAGGUUUUUCCUUUCUCUUUCUUCAUCCACCAAGCUACCCACCUUUGAAACACAAGUAGAUCCAAGGGGUGUUUAACAGGUCUGAACGAAGAAGGUUCAGUGGAGAGUUACUUCUGUGAAACAGUAAGAAAAUACGAGACAUCCACGCUUUUGUCUCUCUGUUUUGGUUAUUGUAUUUUUUUUUAGGCUUGAGCAUGGGGGAGGAGUAGUCAAGGAUGGCCUUUGUGAGCCUCUGCUGUGCCCUACUGCUAUCCUGUAGGCAGAGCUACAGUGCAGGGCCAUUACAGCUUCAUUCCCAUGAGUCCUGGCAAUGGGGAAUCAAUGCCAGGUAGGAUUCCUUUGGCUUCCACAGUGGACCCCAGUGCUUUUCCUCUCCAGCAGGAGAGAUUUGAACACCACUACUACCUAGGAGCUAAAAAUGAAGAGUACAGGACCAAGAGAAGACCAGUAGGGACUGAGACAGGCUGACACAGGAUGUUGUGGGGUGGGGCUUUGGCCUUUUUAUCUGGGACACCUGCUCCUUGUGCCAUGUGUGGGUAGGAUUUUCUUGCUGAGACACAGCUACUCCCCGUUUAGCCCAAGCCGCCCUGGCACUCAUUAUGUAGUCCCAGCUCCUCUCCGAGGUCUAUGCCUUGGUUGCCAAGGGCAAGUGUAAGACUGAAUGUAUAAUCUAGAGUGAAGACAGUAACAGGCAUAUAUAGUUAUGUCAUGGGAAACAGUAAGAGACCUCCAAUGUCGGAAGACUCUUGUGCCCUUGCUCCAGUGUGAACUAAAUCAUCCCCUAGAGAGAAUCAGUGACAGAUCCAUUUGGAAACCACUCUGAUUUCAGCGCACAUGUUUCUCCAAGUGGGGUUGUGUAAAGCAUUCAGUGUUGACAGGUAUCUGGAUCCUCUAUCCAGGGCCACUAGAGUCAGCCUGGCACAGGACACACAAGGCCUUUUGUCUAGAGCCCUUGUCUGGAUCACACACAGCAUGCUAUCCAGGGAAGUCUAUGUGAAGUAGGUAAGAACUAGGUCCCCUGAUGGUUUGCUUUAGUGCAGCCCUGAGGUUGCCACAUGUCCUUUUUCUCCCUAGAAGUGAUCCCAGAGAUCGCUCUCAAGACCAGGAAUCCAUCAGACUCCAGGGGCAAGCAUGGAGGCUGAAUGCUGCUGGGUGCAGAUGGGGAGCAAUGCAGGAUUUGAGCGUGGACUGCACAGAGUUCCUCCCAAGAGAAGAGGAAUGAGGCAGGCAGGACCUCUGAGAAUAUGCAGACUGUUUUGACUGAGGGACUUGGACCAGGUACAGAGCUGACCUGAGGCCAGCUAGGCCUCUCACUGUCCAGGUGCUGAUGAGAAAGCAGUACUGAAACUACAGAGUCUCUGUUGAGGCCUCAGGAGAAGUCCAGGAAGCCCAAAUCGGCACCCAGAGCUGAUCUUGUCAUCAGAAAAGCUUCCGCCAUCGCUGAGGAUCAUGGGAAGUAAGGUCAGUGGUGUUGUCAGUUUUGAAACCGCAUCCUCAUGAUGGCAGUAGAGCUCCUCAUAAGCUCUUGUGAGUGAUUGUCUCCCGCCCUUCCUGUCUGAAAAAAACGCCAAAGAUGGCUGUACUGAGUUCUUCAGCUCAUCUUUGAGUAAUUUCACCAGUUUUUUUUUUUUUUUCUUGUUUUAUGGGAUUCUUUUCCUUGUGUGAUCUGGAAUAUUUCUUUUUCUUUCUUUAUGAUGGCUCAUUUUUACCCAUUCCAGAUACUUAUUGGUCUUCGUAAAAUUUUGGAAUGAUUAAUUUUUCAUAGGUUUCACAUGAUAGAGGUAUUGUUUAAAAGCAAAGAACAAUGCUAAGCCCUAGUUGUUGUGAGCUAACUACAUGGACCAGGCUGGCCUGGGUCUUUCCUUGAGACUUCUGUCUUUGCCCCUGGGAAUUUCAGAAUUUCUAGGUUCAUGCUACCAUGACCAGAUGGCAGGAGUAGGUUUCACCUUGUCUUAAAUAACAUCACCGAACAAACCCUCGGCAGUUACUAAUUUUAUCCUAAAGACAACGUCCAGGCUUCAAGGUUUUUCCUUUCUCUUUCUUCAUCCACCAAUUUACCCACCUUUGAAACACAAGUAAAUCCAAGGGGAGUUUAACAGGUCUGAACGGAGAAGGUUCAGUGGAGAGUUACUUCUGUGAAACAGUAAGAAAAUACGAGACAUCCAUGCUUUUGUCUGUCUGUUUUGGUUAUUGUAUUUUUUUUUUAGGCUUGAGCAUGGGGGAGGAGUAGUCAAGGAUGGCCUUUGUGAGCCUCUGCUGUGCCCUACUGCUAUCCUGUAGGCAGAGCUACAGUGCAGGGCCAUUACAGCUUCAUUCCCAUGAGUCCUGGCAAUGGGGAAUCAAUGUCAGGUAGGAUUCCUUUGGCUUCCAAGUGGACCCCAGUGCUUUUCCUCUCCAGCAGGAGAGAUUUGAACACCAGCACUACCUUGGAGCUAAAAAUGAAGAGUACAGGACCAAGAGAAGACCAGUAGACAAGCUGACAUAGGAAGUUGUGGGGCGGGGUUUUGGUCUUUUUAUCUGGGACCUGACAAGAAGAAACCACAGGAAAAGAAGUGCAGGCUCUUGAAGGGGAUGUCUGUCUCCUGCUCCUUGUGCCAUGUGUGGGCCGGAUUUUAAGUUUGCCUUCUUGCUGAGACACAUCCACUCCCCGUUUAGCCCAAGCUGCCCUGGCACACACUGUGUAGUCCCAGCUCCUCUCAGAGGUCCAUGUCUUGGUUGCCAAGGGCAAGUAUAAGACUGAAUGUAUAAUCUAGAGUGAAGACAGUAACAGGCAUAUAUAGUUAUGUCAUGGGAAACAGUAAUAGGCCUCCAAUGUCGGAAGACUCUUGUGCCCUUGCUGCAGUGUGAACUAAAGCAUCCCCUAGAGAGAAUCAGUGACAGAUCCAUUUGGAAACCACUCUGAUUUCAGCGCACAUGUUUCUCCAAGUGGGGUUGUGCAUAGCAUUCAGUGUUGACAGGUAUCUGGAUCCUCUAUCCAGGGCCACUAGAGUCAGCCUGGCACAGGACACACAAGGCCUUUUGUCUAGAGCCCUUGUCUGGAUCACACACAGCGUGGUAUCCAGUCUGUGUGAAGUAGGUAAGAACUAGUGAAAGACCUCCGGAGAGGACCUCUCCCUCAGGAGGAGACCCCAAGCGCCCAAUGACCGAACCGAGGCCACUCCGAUGCAAUCAGCAAGAGGGUUUAUUGGAAAACACAGGUACCUGCGGGCACACAGUCUCUUCAGAGGACUUGCGCGCCCAGCAGCUCCAGCAUGGGGCUUUUAUAGGGUUUGGGGAAGCAGAAGCGGGCGUACAGAAGCAGAUGCAUAGUUACGGGGAUUGGUGGAUUUAAACGAGGCAUAUAGACAUGUUCACAUAUGAUUGGUUAUUUCACAUGAUGAGGUAAUAAGGUAUAGCUACACACAUUGGCAGGUUUGCAUCAUAUUCAACUGAGGUUGUAACAUGGUAAAAGAGUACAUGCGGGCUGGGACGUCCUGAAUGUCGGGGGCUAGGGGCUUAUCCCUUCCUGCCAGAUCUGGUACUCCUAGUCUGUUCUGUAUUCCUUUCCUUUUAUGGUCUGUUAGUUUUAACGGUGACUCGGCCCUAGGUAUCUGGGUGUGCCUGGGCUCCUUCAAGCCUGUUGCAGCUCUGAGUUAAGACUCAUGGGGUGGGUCUUUCACUAGGUCCACUGAUGGUUUGCUUUUGUGCAGCCCUGAGGUUGCCACUUGUCCUUUUUCUCCCUAGAAGUGAUCCCUGAGAUCACUCUCAAGACCAGGAAUCCAUCAGACUUCAGGGCCAAGCAGGGAGGCAGAAUGCUGCUGGGUGCAGAUGGGGAGCAAGGCAGGAUUUCAGCAUGGACUGCACAGAAUUCCUCCCAAGAGAAGAGGAAUGAGGCAGGCAGGACCUCUGAGAAUAUGCAGACUGUUUUGACUGAGGGACUUGGACCAGGUACAGAGCUGACCUGAGGUACUAGAAGAGGAAGCAGAGGGGCAGGUUUAACUAGCGUUCACUUGGCAAUGUUAACCUACUAGUUGGUGGCCUAGGCCAGCUAGGCCUCUCACUGUCCAGGUUCUGAUGAGAAAGCAGUACUGAAACUACAGAGUCUCUGUUGAGGCCUCAGGAGAAGUCCAGGGAGCCCAAAUCGGCACCCAGAGCUGAUCUUGCCACCAGAAAAGCUUCCGCCAUCGCUGAGGAUCAUGGGAAGUAAGGUCAGUGGUGUUGUCAGUUUUGAAACCGCAUCCUCAUGAUGGCAGUAGAGCUCCACACAAGCUCUUGUGAGUGAUUGUCCCCCGCCCUUCCUGUCUGAAAAAACGCCAAAGAUGGCUGUACUGAGUUCUUCAGCUCAUCUUUGAGUAAUUUCACCAGUAUUUUUUUUUUCUUGUUUUAUGGGAUUCUUUUCCUCGUGUGCUCUGGAAUAUUUCUUUUUCUUUCUUUAUGAUGGCUCAUUUUUACCCAUUCCAGAUACUUAUUGGUCUUCGUAAAAUUUUGGAAUGAUUAAUUUUUCAUAGGUUUCACAUGAUAGAGGUAUUGUUUAAAAGCAAAGAACAAUGCUAAGCCCUAGUUGUUGUGAGCUAACUACAUGGACCAGGCUGGCCUGGGUCUUUCCUUGAGACUUCUGUCUUUGCCCCUGAGAAUUUCAGAAUUUCUAGGUUCAUGCUACCAUGACCAGAUGGCAGGAGUAGGUUUCACCUUGUCUUAAAUAACAUCACCGAACAAACCCUCGGCAGUUACUAAUUUUAUCCUAAAGACAACGUCCAGGCUUCAAGGUUUUUCCUUUCUCUUUCUUCAUCCACCAAGCUACCCACCUUUGAAACACAAGUAGAUCCAAGGGGUGUUUAACAGGUCUGAACGAAGAAGGUUCAGUGGAGAGUUACUUCUGUGAAACAGUAAGAAAAUACGAGACAUCCACGCUUUUGUCUCUCUGUUUUGGUUAUUGUAUUUUUUUUUAGGCUUGAGCAUGGGGGAGGAGUAGUCAAGGAUGGCCUUUGUGAGCCUCUGCUGUGCCCUACUGCUAUCCUGUAGGCAGAGCUACAGUGCAGGGCCAUUACAGCUUCAUUCCCAUGAGUCCUGGCAAUGGGGAAUCAAUGCCAGGUAGGAUUCCUUUGGCUUCCACAGUGGACCCCAGUGCUUUUCCUCUCCAGCAGGAGAGAUUUGAACACCACUACUACCUAGGAGCUAAAAAUGAAGAGUACAGGACCAAGAGAAGACCAGUAGGGACUGAGACAGGCUGACACAGGAUGUUGUGGGGUGGGGCUUUGGCCUUUUUAUCUGGGACACCUGCUCCUUGUGCCAUGUGUGGGUAGGAUUUUCUUGCUGAGACACAGCUACUCCCCGUUUAGCCCAAGCCGCCCUGGCACUCAUUAUGUAGUCCCAGCUCCUCUCCGAGGUCUAUGCCUUGGUUGCCAAGGGCAAGUGUAAGACUGAAUGUAUAAUCUAGAGUGAAGACAGUAACAGGCAUAUAUAGUUAUGUCAUGGGAAACAGUAAGAGACCUCCAAUGUCGGAAGACUCUUGUGCCCUUGCUCCAGUGUGAACUAAAUCAUCCCCUAGAGAGAAUCAGUGACAGAUCCAUUUGGAAACCACUCUGAUUUCAGCGCACAUGUUUCUCCAAGUGGGGUUGUGUAAAGCAUUCAGUGUUGACAGGUAUCUGGAUCCUCUAUCCAGGGCCACUAGAGUCAGCCUGGCACAGGACACACAAGGCCUUUUGUCUAGAGCCCUUGUCUGGAUCACACACAGCAUGCUAUCCAGGGAAGUCUAUGUGAAGUAGGUAAGAACUAGGUCCCCUGAUGGUUUGCUUUAGUGCAGCCCUGAGGUUGCCACAUGUCCUUUUUCUCCCUAGAAGUGAUCCCAGAGAUCGCUCUCAAGACCAGGAAUCCAUCAGACUCCAGGGGCAAGCAUGGAGGCUGAAUGCUGCUGGGUGCAGAUGGGGAGCAAUGCAGGAUUUGAGCGUGGACUGCACAGAGUUCCUCCCAAGAGAAGAGGAAUGAGGCAGGCAGGACCUCUGAGAAUAUGCAGACUGUUUUGACUGAGGGACUUGGACCAGGUACAGAGCUGACCUGAGGCCAGCUAGGCCUCUCACUGUCCAGGUGCUGAUGAGAAAGCAGUACUGAAACUACAGAGUCUCUGUUGAGGCCUCAGGAGAAGUCCAGGAAGCCCAAAUCGGCACCCAGAGCUGAUCUUGUCAUCAGAAAAGCUUCCGCCAUCGCUGAGGAUCAUGGGAAGUAAGGUCAGUGGUGUUGUCAGUUUUGAAACCGCAUCCUCAUGAUGGCAGUAGAGCUCCUCAUAAGCUCUUGUGAGUGAUUGUCUCCCGCCCUUCCUGUCUGAAAAAAACGCCAAAGAUGGCUGUACUGAGUUCUUCAGCUCAUCUUUGAGUAAUUUCACCAGUUUUUUUUUUUUUUUUCUUGUUUUAUGGGAUUCUUUUCCUUGUGUGAUCUGGAAUAUUUCUUUUUCUUUCUUUAUGAUGGCUCAUUUUUACCCAUUCCAGAUACUUAUUGGUCUUCGUAAAAUUUUGGAAUGAUUAAUUUUUCAUAGGUUUCACAUGAUAGAGGUAUUGUUUAAAAGCAAAGAACAAUGCUAAGCCCUAGUUGUUGUGAGCUAACUACAUGGACCAGGCUGGCCUGGGUCUUUCCUUGAGACUUCUGUCUUUGCCCCUGGGAAUUUCAGAAUUUCUAGGUUCAUGCUACCAUGACCAGAUGGCAGGAGUAGGUUUCACCUUGUCUUAAAUAACAUCACCGAACAAACCCUCGGCAGUUACUAAUUUUAUCCUAAAGACAACGUCCAGGCUUCAAGGUUUUUCCUUUCUCUUUCUUCAUCCACCAAUUUACCCACCUUUGAAACACAAGUAAAUCCAAGGGGAGUUUAACAGGUCUGAACGGAGAAGGUUCAGUGGAGAGUUACUUCUGUGAAACAGUAAGAAAAUACGAGACAUCCAUGCUUUUGUCUGUCUGUUUUGGUUAUUGUAUUUUUUUUUUAGGCUUGAGCAUGGGGGAGGAGUAGUCAAGGAUGGCCUUUGUGAGCCUCUGCUGUGCCCUACUGCUAUCCUGUAGGCAGAGCUACAGUGCAGGGCCAUUACAGCUUCAUUCCCAUGAGUCCUGGCAAUGGGGAAUCAAUGUCAGGUAGGAUUCCUUUGGCUUCCAAGUGGACCCCAGUGCUUUUCCUCUCCAGCAGGAGAGAUUUGAACACCAGCACUACCUUGGAGCUAAAAAUGAAGAGUACAGGACCAAGAGAAGACCAGUAGACAAGCUGACAUAGGAAGUUGUGGGGCGGGGUUUUGGUCUUUUUAUCUGGGACCUGACAAGAAGAAACCACAGGAAAAGAAGUGCAGGCUCUUGAAGGGGAUGUCUGUCUCCUGCUCCUUGUGCCAUGUGUGGGCCGGAUUUUAAGUUUGCCUUCUUGCUGAGACACAUCCACUCCCCGUUUAGCCCAAGCUGCCCUGGCACACACUGUGUAGUCCCAGCUCCUCUCAGAGGUCCAUGUCUUGGUUGCCAAGGGCAAGUAUAAGACUGAAUGUAUAAUCUAGAGUGAAGACAGUAACAGGCAUAUAUAGUUAUGUCAUGGGAAACAGUAAUAGGCCUCCAAUGUCGGAAGACUCUUGUGCCCUUGCUGCAGUGUGAACUAAAGCAUCCCCUAGAGAGAAUCAGUGACAGAUCCAUUUGGAAACCACUCUGAUUUCAGCGCACAUGUUUCUCCAAGUGGGGUUGUGCAUAGCAUUCAGUGUUGACAGGUAUCUGGAUCCUCUAUCCAGGGCCACUAGAGUCAGCCUGGCACAGGACACACAAGGCCUUUUGUCUAGAGCCCUUGUCUGGAUCACACACAGCGUGGUAUCCAGUCUGUGUGAAGUAGGUAAGAACUAGUGAAAGACCUCCGGAGAGGACCUCUCCCUCAGGAGGAGACCCCAAGCGCCCAAUGACCGAACCGAGGCCACUCCGAUGCAAUCAGCAAGAGGGUUUAUUGGAAAACACAGGUACCUGCGGGCACACAGUCUCUUCAGAGGACUUGCGCGCCCAGCAGCUCCAGCAUGGGGCUUUUAUAGGGUUUGGGGAAGCAGAAGCGGGCGUACAGAAGCAGAUGCAUAGUUACGGGGAUUGGUGGAUUUAAACGAGGCAUAUAGACAUGUUCACAUAUGAUUGGUUAUUUCACAUGAUGAGGUAAUAAGGUAUAGCUACACACAUUGGCAGGUUUGCAUCAUAUUCAACUGAGGUUGUAACAUGGUAAAAGAGUACAUGCGGGCUGGGACGUCCUGAAUGUCGGGGGCUAGGGGCUUAUCCCUUCCUGCCAGAUCUGGUACUCCUAGUCUGUUCUGUAUUCCUUUCCUUUUAUGGUCUGUUAGUUUUAACGGUGACUCGGCCCUAGGUAUCUGGGUGUGCCUGGGCUCCUUCAAGCCUGUUGCAGCUCUGAGUUAAGACUCAUGGGGUGGGUCUUUCACUAGGUCCACUGAUGGUUUGCUUUUGUGCAGCCCUGAGGUUGCCACUUGUCCUUUUUCUCCCUAGAAGUGAUCCCUGAGAUCACUCUCAAGACCAGGAAUCCAUCAGACUUCAGGGCCAAGCAGGGAGGCAGAAUGCUGCUGGGUGCAGAUGGGGAGCAAGGCAGGAUUUCAGCAUGGACUGCACAGAAUUCCUCCCAAGAGAAGAGGAAUGAGGCAGGCAGGACCUCUGAGAAUAUGCAGACUGUUUUGACUGAGGGACUUGGACCAGGUACAGAGCUGACCUGAGGUACUAGAAGAGGAAGCAGAGGGGCAGGUUUAACUAGCGUUCACUUGGCAAUGUUAACCUACUAGUUGGUGGCCUAGGCCAGCUAGGCCUCUCACUGUCCAGGUUCUGAUGAGAAAGCAGUACUGAAACUACAGAGUCUCUGUUGAGGCCUCAGGAGAAGUCCAGGGAGCCCAAAUCGGCACCCAGAGCUGAUCUUGCCACCAGAAAAGCUUCCGCCAUCGCUGAGGAUCAUGGGAAGUAAGGUCAGUGGUGUUGUCAGUUUUGAAACCGCAUCCUCAUGAUGGCAGUAGAGCUCCACACAAGCUCUUGUGAGUGAUUGUCCCCCGCCCUUCCUGUCUGAAAAAACGCCAAAGAUGGCUGUACUGAGUUCUUCAGCUCAUCUUUGAGUAAUUUCACCAGUAUUUUUUUUUUCUUGUUUUAUGGGAUUCUUUUCCUCGUGUGCUCUGGAAUAUUUCUUUUUCUUUCUUUAUGAUGGCUCAUUUUUACCCAUUCCAGAUACUUAUUGGUCUUCGUAAAAUUUUGGAAUGAUUAAUUUUUCAUAGGUUUCACAUGAUAGAGGUAUUGUUUAAAAGCAAAGAACAAUGCUAAGCCCUAGUUGUUGUGAGCUAACUACAUGGACCAGGCUGGCCUGGGUCUUUCCUUGAGACUUCUGUCUUUGCCCCUGAGAAUUUCAGAAUUUCUAGGUUCAUGCUACCAUGACCAGAUGGCAGGAGUAGGUUUCACCUUGUCUUAAAUAACAUCACCGAACAAACCCUCGGCAGUUACUAAUUUUAUCCUAAAGACAACGUCCAGGCUUCAAGGUUUUUCCUUUCUCUUUCUUCAUCCACCAAGCUACCCACCUUUGAAACACAAGUAGAUCCAAGGGGUGUUUAACAGGUCUGAACGAAGAAGGUUCAGUGGAGAGUUACUUCUGUGAAACAGUAAGAAAAUACGAGACAUCCACGCUUUUGUCUCUCUGUUUUGGUUAUUGUAUUUUUUUUUAGGCUUGAGCAUGGGGGAGGAGUAGUCAAGGAUGGCCUUUGUGAGCCUCUGCUGUGCCCUACUGCUAUCCUGUAGGCAGAGCUACAGUGCAGGGCCAUUACAGCUUCAUUCCCAUGAGUCCUGGCAAUGGGGAAUCAAUGCCAGGUAGGAUUCCUUUGGCUUCCACAGUGGACCCCAGUGCUUUUCCUCUCCAGCAGGAGAGAUUUGAACACCACUACUACCUAGGAGCUAAAAAUGAAGAGUACAGGACCAAGAGAAGACCAGUAGGGACUGAGACAGGCUGACACAGGAUGUUGUGGGGUGGGGCUUUGGCCUUUUUAUCUGGGACACCUGCUCCUUGUGCCAUGUGUGGGUAGGAUUUUCUUGCUGAGACACAGCUACUCCCCGUUUAGCCCAAGCCGCCCUGGCACUCAUUAUGUAGUCCCAGCUCCUCUCCGAGGUCUAUGCCUUGGUUGCCAAGGGCAAGUGUAAGACUGAAUGUAUAAUCUAGAGUGAAGACAGUAACAGGCAUAUAUAGUUAUGUCAUGGGAAACAGUAAGAGACCUCCAAUGUCGGAAGACUCUUGUGCCCUUGCUCCAGUGUGAACUAAAUCAUCCCCUAGAGAGAAUCAGUGACAGAUCCAUUUGGAAACCACUCUGAUUUCAGCGCACAUGUUUCUCCAAGUGGGGUUGUGUAAAGCAUUCAGUGUUGACAGGUAUCUGGAUCCUCUAUCCAGGGCCACUAGAGUCAGCCUGGCACAGGACACACAAGGCCUUUUGUCUAGAGCCCUUGUCUGGAUCACACACAGCAUGCUAUCCAGGGAAGUCUAUGUGAAGUAGGUAAGAACUAGGUCCCCUGAUGGUUUGCUUUAGUGCAGCCCUGAGGUUGCCACAUGUCCUUUUUCUCCCUAGAAGUGAUCCCAGAGAUCGCUCUCAAGACCAGGAAUCCAUCAGACUCCAGGGGCAAGCAUGGAGGCUGAAUGCUGCUGGGUGCAGAUGGGGAGCAAUGCAGGAUUUGAGCGUGGACUGCACAGAGUUCCUCCCAAGAGAAGAGGAAUGAGGCAGGCAGGACCUCUGAGAAUAUGCAGACUGUUUUGACUGAGGGACUUGGACCAGGUACAGAGCUGACCUGAGGUACUAGAAGAGGAAGCAGAGGGGCAGGUUUAACUAGCGUUCACUUGGCAAUGUUAACCUACUAGUUGGUGGCCUAGGCCAGCUAGGCCUCUCACUGUCCAGGUUCUGAUGAGAAAGCAGUACUGAAACUACAGAGUCUCUGUUGAGGCCUCAGGAGAAGUCCAGGGAGCCCAAAUCGGCACCCAGAGCUGAUCUUGUCAUCAGAAAAGCUUCCGCCAUCGCUGAGGAUCAUGGGAAGUAAGAUACUUAGAGGUGGUAUCAAAAUUUGGAACCAUUAAUUUUUCUGUCCGUCUCAUACAAUAAUGUUUCCUGGGAAUAUCGAAGGAAAUCAACUCCUUCUCUGUUCCCAUCAAAAUGGGGAAGGAGGAAGAGGAGGAUGAAGAGGAAGAGGAGCAGAAGCAGCAAAAUCAGUAGCAGCUGCUUCCCAGGGAUAUCUACUGGACAUGGCCUAACAAAAUAAAAUAGAACAGAGCACAAACUCUCAUAUCAUACCUAGAUGUGGAAUCCAAAUAGGAGGAAAAGAGUUCCAAGCAAAGGAAAAGAUUCAGAGGCACAUGUCAUCCCACCCCUACUGUUAGGAGUCUCACAAGAACACCCAGCUGCUACACAACCAUAAGAACUGGAUGAUAAAGUUUAACCUCCAUGGCACAAGCAAGCACUGGGGUAGACUGCUGCUGGGUGAAGAAGAGACCCAAGACUUGAUCAGUGAGCAGCCAUUGAUUUCUUCCCAAAGUAUGAUGCUUUAGGAAGGCAAAUCGGAAAGAUCACAGUACCUCUCAGAGUAUUAAUGCAGACCCUGUUUACUGAGAAACUUGGACCAAGUGCACAGUUGUCCUGAGGUCCAGGAAGAGGAAGCAGAGGGGCGAGUUUCACUCCAGCUCAGGCUUGAGCAUGGGGGAGGAGUAGUCAAGGAUGGCCUUUGUGAGCCUCUGCUGUGCCCUACUGCCAUCCUGCAGGCAGAGCUACAGUGCAGGGCCAUUACAGCUUCAUUCCCAUGAGUCCUGGCAAUGGGGAAUCAAUGUCAGAAGUGAUCCCAGAGAUCGCUCUCAAGACCAGGAAUCCAUCAGACUCCAGGGGCAAGCAUGGAGGCUGAAUGCUGCUGGGUGCAGAUGGGGAGCAAUGCAGGAUUUGAGCGUGGACUGCACAGAGUUCCUCCCAAGAGAAGAGGAAUGAGGCAGGCAGAUGGGAAACACAGGACCUGUCAGAAUAUUAAUGCAGACCCUGUUGACUGAGAGACUUGGACCAGGCUUGAGCAUGGGGGAGGAGUAGUCAAGGAUGGCCUUUGUGAGCCUCUGCUGUGCCCUACUGCUAUCCUGUAGGCAGAGCUACAGUGCAGGACCAUUACAGCUUCAUUCCCAUGAGUCCUGGCAAUGGGGAAUCAAUGCCAGAAGUGAUCCCAGAGAUCGCUCUCAAGACCAGGAAUCCAUCAGACUCCAGGGGCAAGCAUGGAGGCUGAAUGCUGCUGGGUGCAGAUGGGGAGCAAUGCAGGAUUUGAGCGUGGACUGCACAGAGUUCCUCCCAAGAGAAGAGGAAUGAGGCAGGAAUUUCCUUAUUUCCUGAAUCUAUGCACAAACAUUUUUAAAAUGACCGGUUCAACAGUUAAUGAAGACAGACUCUAGAAGCCAUGCAGUGAAAGUGAUUGCUCGUCUGCUUGUUCUCAGCUCCUGGUCCAGCAGCUCGCCUGCCUGCUCGCUUCCAUGCUUCUCGCAACAUUGGACAUCAAUUUACUACUGGAAAGUGUUAAUAAGCCUCCAAUGAAUUGCUUCCUAGUGGCCCUUCACAAGAAUAGGAGAAUAAUAAGACACUGUCACUUAUCUCAUUGGAAUUUAUAGGCAGUGCAAUGUUUAUUUCUCCCCCUUCGAUUAUGAGCAUUCAAAAUUACUACUUAGAUUCUCCUUAUAUGAUGCUAGUCAACCACCCACUGCCCACACGAGGCCUGUUAUGUCCUUCGGGAUAUGGUGCCCAAGGAAUAAGUGAAUUUGUCUGAGAGUAGGGUUUCUGGUACCUGGAUUUGCUCUAAUGCAGACACGGAGGUUCCAUACAGCAUUUUCUUUCUUCUUUCUAGAAAUGGAUCCUAAGAGCACAAGAUAAUCAUAAAUAUCACAAGAACCCUUUGGAGGUUGAAUGCUGACUUUAUCCAAAGAGAAGAUGCAUGAGGUGCCUCAGGUGAAGCCAAACUAAAGCUCAAAUCUAGAAGGGAUCAUUGGAUGCUUUUCCUAAAACACCAAAGAACUCACUCUAGGCCAGGCUGGUCUGGAACUAACAGAUCCAUCUCCCUCUUCCCCUGCUCAGGAGUGCUGGGAUUCAGGGUCUUUAAAGCACAGAACUGCCAACAAUUCAACACAGAGUAUGAAAAAUGGCGGCGAAGUACAGUGUCGAAUAACUGGAUGCUGAGACUUGCCCCCCAAAUCCCAAAACAAUCAGGUAGCAUGAGAAAGCACUGGAGCUAGAAUGAUGCUGGCUGAAGACAGGGAGAAAUGCAGGAUUGUCAUUGACUAGGCUGUCACUUCUGGCUCUCAGGUCUUCAGAGAGGAUGGACAAGGACGGGAGGCACACUGGAAUCACAGGACAUUACAGAGUAUUAAUGCAGACCCUGUUGACUGAGACACUUUCACCAAGUACACAGAUGACCCGAGGCCUAGGAACAGGAGGCAGAGGGGCAGGUUUCACCCAAGCUCGGCUAGGGAUGUUAACCUACUACCUGGUGGCCUAGAGCAGCCAGGCCUCACUCUCUCCAGGUUCUGAAGAGAAAGCAUUACAGUCAGAGUCUCUGUUGGGGCCUGAGGAGAAGUCCAGGAAACACAAAUAGGCAGCUAAACCUGCUUUUGCUAGCUGUAAUCUUCCGCCAUCGCUAAGAAUCAUGGGGAGGCAGGCAGUGGCGCUGUGAAUUUUGAAAUCAUAACCUCAUGAUGGCAGUAGAGCUCCACACAAGCUCUUGUGAGUAAUUAUCCCCCGCCCUUCCUAUCUGAAAAAAACGUCAAGGAUGGCUGUACUGAGUUCUUCAGCCCAACUUUGAAUACUUUCAGCAGUAUUUUUUUUUUUUUUUUUUUGUCCUAUGGGGAUCUUUUCCUUGUGUUAUCUAAUAUAUCUCCUUUUUUUUCUCUAUGACAACUCAUUUUUUAUCCAUUUACAAUAUUUAAUGAUCUUAAAGUUUUACAAUGAUUAAUUUUUCAUGGGUUUUACACCAUAGAGUUAUUGUGGAGAUUUAGAAGCAAAGCAAAGAACUAUGCUAAGCCCUGGUUGUAGUGAACUGACUAUAUGGACCAGGCUGCUGUGAUAAUAUAAUCUAGAGUGAAGACAGUAACAGGCAUAUAUAGUUAUGUCAUGGGAAACAGUAAUAGGCCUCCAAUCUAGGAAGACUCUUGUGCCCCUGCUCCAGUGUGAACUAAAGCAUCCCCUAGAGAGAAUCAGUGACAGAUCCAUUUGGAAACCACUCUGAUUUCAACGCACAUGUUUCUCCAAGUGGGGUUGUGUAAAGCAUUCAGUGUUGACAGGUAUCUGGAUCCUCUAUCCAGGGCCACUAGAGUCAGCCUGGCACAGGACACACAAGGCCUUUUGUCUAGAGCCCUUGUCUGGAUCACACACAGCGUGCUAUCCAGGGAAGUCUAUGUGAAGUAGGUAAGAACUAGGUCCCCUGAUGGUUUGCUUUUGUGCAGCCCUGAGGUUGCAGCAUGUCUUUUCUCCCUUGAAGUGAUCCCUGAGAUCGCUCUCAAGACCAGGAAUCCAUCAGACUUCAGGGCCAAGCAGGGAGGCAGAAUGCUGCUGGGGGCAGAUGGGGAGCAAUGCAGGAUUUGAGCGUGGACUGCACAGAGUUCCUCCCAAGAGAAGAGGAAUGAGGCAGGCAGGACCUCUCAGAAUACGCAGACUGUUUUCACUGAGGGACUUGGACCAGGUACAGAGCUGACCUGAGGUACUAGAGCAGGAAGCAGAGGGGCGGGUUUCACUGGCGUUCACUUGGCAAUGUUAACCUACUAGCUGGUGGCCUAGGCCAGCUAGGCCUCUCACCAGGUUCUGAUGAGAAAGCAGUACUGAAACUACAGAGUCUCUGUUGGGGCCUUAGGAGAAGUCCGGGAAGCCCAAGUAGGCACCCAGAGCUGAUCUUGCCAUUAAAAAAGCUUCCGCCAUCGCUAAGGAUCAUGGGAAGUAAGGUCAGUGGUGUUGUCAGUUUUGAAGCCGCAUCCGCAUGAUGGCAGUAGAGCUCCACACAAGCUCUUGUGAGUGAUUGUCUCCCGCCCUUCCUGUCUGAAAAAACGCCAAAGAUGGCUGUCCUGAGUUCUUCAGCUCAUCUUUGAGUAAUUUCACCAGUAUUUUUUUUUUUUUUCUUGUUUUAUGGGAUUCUUUUCCUUGUGUGAUCUGGAAUAUUUCUUUUUCUUUCUUUAUGACGGCUCAUUUUUACCCAUUCCAGAUACUUAUUGGUCUUCGUAAAAUUUUGGAAUGAUUAAUUUUUCAUAGGUUUCACAUGAUAGAGGUAUUGUUUAAAAGCAAAGAACAAUGCUAAGCCCUAGUUGUUGUGAGCUAACUACAUGGACCAGGCUGGCCUGGGUCUUUCCAUGAGACUUCUGUCUUUGCCCCUGAGAAUUUCAGAAUUUCUAGGUUCAUGCUACCAUGACCAGAUGGCAGGAGUAGGUUUCACCUUGUCUUAAAUAACAUCACCGAACAAACCCUUGGCAAUUAUUACUUUUAUCCUAAAGACAACGUCCAGGCUUCAAGGUUUUCCCUUUCUCUUUCUUCAUCCACCAAUUUACCCACCUUUGAAACACAAGUAAAUCCAAGGGGAGUUUAACAGGUCUGAACGGAGAAGGUUCAGUGGAGAGUUACUUCUGUGAAACAGUAAGAAAAUACGAGACAUCCACGCUUUUGUCUCUCUGUUUUGGUUAUUGUAUUUUUUUUUUUAGGCUUGAGCAUGGGGGAGGAGUAGUCAAGGAUGGCCUUUGUGAGCCUCUGCUGUGCCCUACUGCCAUCCUGCAGGUAGAGCUACAGUGCAGGGCCAUUACAGCUUCAUUCCCAUGAGUCCUGGCAAUGGGGAAUCAAUGUCAGGUAGGAUUCCUUUGACUUCCAAGUGGACUCCAGUGCUUUUCCUCUCCAGCAGGAGAGAUUUGAACACCAGCACUACCUUGGAGCUAAAAAUGAAGAGUACAGGACUAAGAGAAGACCAGUAGACAAGCUGACAUAGGAAGUUGUGGGGCGGGGUUUUGGUCUUUUUAUCUGGGACCUGACAAGAAGAAACCACAGGAAAAGAAAUGCAGGCUCUUGAAGGGGAUGUCUGUCUCCUGCUCCUUGUGCCAUGUGUGGGCCGGAUUUUAAGUUUGCCUUCUUGCUGAGACACAUCCACUCCCCGUUUAGCCCAAGCUGCCCUGGCACACACUGUGUAGUCCCAGCUCCUCUCAGAGGUCCAUGUCUUGGUUGCCAAGGGCAAGUAUAAGACUGAAUGUAUAAUCUAGAGUGAAGACAGUAACAGGCAUAUGUAGUUAUGUCAUGGGAAACAGUAAUAGGCCUCCAAUCUAGGAAGACUCUUGUGCCCUUGCUGCAGUGUGAACUAAAGCAUCCCCUAGAGAGAAUCAGUGACAGAUCCAUUUGGAAACCACUCUGAUUUCAACGCACAUGUUUCUCCAAGUGGGGUUGUGCAUAGCAUUCAGUGUUGACAGGUAUCUGGAUCCUCUAUCCAGGGCCACUAGAGUCAGCCUGGCACAGGACACACAAGGCCUUUUGUCUAAAGCCCUUGUCUGGAUCACACACAGCGUGCUAUCCAGGGAAGUCUGUGUGAAGUAGGUAAGAACUAGGUCCCCUGAUGGUUUACUUUUGUUCAGCCCUGAGGUUGCAACAUGUCUUUUUUCUCCCUUGAAGUGAUCCCUGAGAUCGCUCUCAAGACCAGGAAUCCAUCAGACUUCAGGGGCAAGCAUGGAGGCAGAAUGCUGCUGGGGGCAGAUGGGGAGCAAUGCAGGAUUUGAGCGUGGACUGCACAGACUUCCUCCCAAGAGAAGAGGAAUGAGGCAGAUAAGAUGGGUGGAAGAGGAGGGCACCACAAUGGCUCCUCGUAGAGCUCUACUGCCCCCAUGAGGACACAGUUUCAUCAGACAUGUUACCUCCAGUUUCCUUCCCAUGACAGCCCUGGCCUUUAGUGUUCUAGAAGAGAUUGGGCAUUAUUUUCUUUCUACAACCUGGAGAACUGAACCCUAACUGUACAUUAGUGUAGAACCUAGGGGGUGACACGAACUAUCAGCAGUGAAGCAAUUUAAUAGCAUACAUGUUUACUGUAGGUGCGAGUGUACCCCUGUAGUAUGCUUGCCAAGGUCUGAGAACAAUUUGUAAGUGUUAGUUAUCUCCUUUAAAGAGGGUGCUGGAGAUGGAACAGAGGUCCUCAGGCAUACAUGCAACCCCAGUAUCACAAACGGUUAUCCUCCCACAACCUGAGGACACUGCAGAAAUUCAUAAGUACAGAAAUGAGUAAAAAAGCACUUGGAUUCAGGAUUUACUAGACAUGCCCUCAGAAUUCACAUGCUUUCUUUCUACUUUUUAUUCACCUACUGGACAAGUAUCACCAAGUAAAUCAAGCCUGAAUGCACAGGGCUCUGAGGGAAUUUAUCUAGACAAAGGAGAGGUGUUUUCAUGAAGAAGGGUGGUGGUUUGCAAUCUUUGGUUUGAAUUGCAAAUGCAAAAGUAAAAUGGCUGCCUUGUACAACUAGAAUCUGCACAGAAGAGGAAGCAGGCAUUUUUCUUGUCCUUUUUUUCAGACUAAACUGGGGGGAGAAUAGGAUGUAAGGUGGCAUUGCUGAACUUAUCUAGAGCUCUGCUGCCCCCAAGAGGAAUUAGUUUCAACAGGACACCAGCAGUUUCUUUCCUAUAAGCCCCUGCUAGAAGGAAGGCUAGCCUUCAAACUGAAGCUCAUUGUCUUCCAAUGCCCCAAGAAAUGCCAGGAAGCUGGUGUAAUUCCUCAUAGAACCUGAAGGUUGUGGGACCUGAAGUGGACCACAAGUAGUCUGGGAUACUGAAACUGUGCUAUUCCCAGCUUUGAUUUGAAAAUGUAGAAAUAACUCAAAAACAAAUGCAAACUCUCCGUCAUCAAGAUGGCUCCUGCUUGUAAUCCCAGUGUUCUGAAGGUAGGAAAGGACUACAGUGAGCACUAGGUAAACAUGGGCUAGAGAGAAGAUUUUGUGUCAAGGAACUCAAGAAUGAACUUUUAAAAUGGGUUAGAGGCACUGCACUAUGAGAAGGGGUGUGUGUUCCUAUUGCUCUUGCCCAUGCUGGAAGCAGAACUUCACGCACCAUCACUGUUCUACAGCCCUACUUACUAUACCCGCUGGAUCCAGGAACUGCAGCAGUGGAAGACCGGCAAGAAAAGCCAAUUCCACGUGCCAAGGGAGUUUAGAAAAGGCCUGAUGUGUACCCAACUAUCAAAACACAGGGCAAAGAAUUAGGCUUCCAUCUAGAAGAGUAAAUGUAUGUGUGGGGAUGGGUGGGUGGGAUAGAUUCAAUGUAAAUGCUUUUUUUUUUUUUUGGUUCUUUUUUUUGGAGCUGGGGACCGAACCCAGGGCCUUGCGCUUCCUAGGCAAGUGCUCUACCACUGAGCUAAAUCCCCAACCCCGCUUUUUUUUUUUUUUACAGAAAUAGAAUUGCUAAUUGUAAAUGUCACUUGGAAUUUGAAGACAAGUAAUUGACAAUGAAUUUCAUAUAAGACACGGUACCAAGCUCUAUUUACUUUAUCAUUUCUUAAAUGUCUUCUCAAGUAAAAUACAGAAGUCCAGAUAUUCAAAAUAUAAAUAUGAAUAUAUGCCCACAGUUUAAGGUGAUGACAAAGACUGUAUAAAGCUAUGUUUUUAUAAUAUCUGUCAAUGUUGAAGAUUACUUUAUAAUUUAAUAACUAAAGAGAUGUUCAUGAAAAUCUUUUUUUUUCUUUUUUUUUUUUUUUCCUUUUUUUUUUUUUCGGAGCUGGGGACCGAACCCAGGGCCUUGCGCUCGCUAGGCAAGCGCUCUACUGCUGAGCUAAAUCCCCAACCCCGUUCAUGAAAAUCUUGAGUGUAUGAGAAUGGUUUGCUAUGUCUGAAAGCUCUCAGUGUACACAGCUGGGUGACUGUAUUGGAGAAGCCAGUUUUAAACAUCAUUUGUUGAGGUUCCCCCCUCCCCCAAUGGAUUUUGAAGAUACAAAUGUAUCUUUUUCUCUUGGAGGAAUCACACUGUGUAGUCCACCUAGGCUGGCCUCUAACUGGCAAUUCUACCUCAGUCUGGCAUUAUAGAUAUGUAAAGACUUAAGCAUUAAACAACAACAAAAGCUAUGUAGAGACCUUGUCUCAAAAAACACAAACUUCUGAGUAGUGAAAUGACCUUGGGAUUCCCUAGUAUAUAUUAAUUUUAUAUGUAUUAUGUAUGAAAUUUGUUUAACUACUUAGUGAAUAAAAUGCCUUAAUUUUUGUCAUAAAUAGCUGAAAGAAGACUUUUAUUCGGUCCUAGAGAGAUGUUAUAGGAGUCAAGAGCUCUGGUUGCUCUUACAGAGACCUAGUUCAAUUUCCGGUAUUCAUAUAGGUAACCACCACCUAUCAUUGCUAUUUUCCAGGGCUCCAGUGCUUUCUUUUAACCACUGUGAGCAAUACAUAUAUACAGACUAUGUACAUACAUAUGUAUAUACAUAUAUACAUACAUACAGGGAAAACAAGUAAAAAUGAAUACAUCUAAUAAAAAGAUUUAUAUAUGAGCAAAAAAAUGCUAAAAAGAAGCUGUAUCUGGUUGUGAGUAAAAACUGGAAGAACUGGGCUGUGGUGGUACAUGCCUUUAUUCCCAGUGCUUGGAAGGUAGAAGCAGGUGGAUCUCUGACUUCAGGGCUAGCCUGGCCUACAGAGUGAGUUCUGAGGCAGCCGGGGUUACACACAGAAACCCUGUCUCAAAGACAAAAAACAAAUAAACCAACAAGACGUGGAUUAAUCAGUCUUGGAGGAGUCUGUCUUCCGAGGCUGAUGAAUCACAGUCUUAUGGAGAGAUUUGGGUUUUUUCAGGUUUAGAGGACAAUUACUUUAACUUGGGCUAGUUUUAGCCUUCUGAAACAGCCAUUCCUUGUUCCAUUCACUCUGAUGUGAAGCAACACAUCAUGAUAAUACAUAAAAAAGCCUUAGAAGCUAUUAACUUAGCAGAGCACUAGCUUCCACCCAUUCAAGAGUGCAGAAUGUCAACAGGUAGCAUCUUGGAGCUGUAGAAUAACUUCCCUAAUCAUGUUACAGCCACCUCUCCCAUGUAUCCACCAAUGUCUUUUAAACUUGCCCUGAUUCAUGAUUUUAUUUGUUGUAUAAAAGUAUAAAAAUCUUGGGAAACUGUUUCCAUGUUGGAACAUGUAAUCUGGGGUGAUCUAAACCUGUGUUCUCGGGCCAUGGUGACUCAAAAUGGAUCCAGAAUAAACCAUCCUUAUUUCCUUUAA